UGUACAAGUUCAUGCCCCUUGUAACUGGGCGAAACCGCGAAUGGCUCAUUAAAACAGUCAUAAUCUAUUUGAUAAUCAAAGUUAUAUGGAUAACUGUGGUAAUUCUAGAGCUAAUACAUGCACAAAAUAGGCGACUGCAAGGCAACUUGCAGAAGCCUAGCGUUUAUUAGACUAAGACCAAUGACUGGGUGUCAAAGCCCAGUCUGCUUUAUGGUGACUCUGAAUAAAUAAUGGGUGAAAGCCCAUGAUGCUGACCCUCGCGACGGCCUCCGGGCUGAGGGCAAAUCAUUCGAGUGUCUGCUCUAUCAACUGUGGAUGGUAGGUUAUAUGCCUACCAUGGUGGUAACGGGUAACGGGGAGUUAGGGCUCGACUCCGGAGAACAAGCCUGAGAAACGGCUAGUAGGACUACGGUCUGCAGCAGGCGCGAAACUUACACAAUGGGAGCACAUCCCUGAUGUAGUGAAGGAAAAUAACGAUGUAUUUCUCAUUACUGAGUGAUACAAUUGGAAUGAGACGACUGUAAAUAUGUUAGUCGAGUAACAAAUGGAGGGCAAGUCUGGUGCCAGCAGCCGCGGUAAUUCCAGCUCCAUUAGCGUAUAUUAAAGUUGUUGCGGUUAAAAAGCUCGUAGUUGAAAUUAGCUUGGCCUUUCACCGCUCGUUUCCGUUUCAACGGCUGCUUGCGCACUUCUCGUGCCGAGUGUACGCCCAGGUUGCGUUGCGGACGCUUGGCCAAUGUUUCGUCACUUUAUAAGAGUGCGAAGCGGGGCGUUAUGAACAGUAGGCCGCUCGCGGUCGUUUUUAGCGCCAAGUUUACCUUGAGAAAAUUAGAGUGCUCACAGCAGGCAGUUUGGGCGUAAAAGUCCUUUAAUGCUUGAAUAAUGUUGCAUGGAAUAAUAGAAUACGGCCUCGGUUCUAUUCUGUUGGUCUUAUAGAACAACAAAAAAGUUGGUAUUUGCAAAGAAGCCGUUGCGGGUAGCUGGUCGGUGUGUGCGCGCUGGCGUCCUGCUUAUGUUGCCUGGAUGUAAAAGUUCAGCGCCGUGGCAGUGCCAGUUGCGUGGCCCCGAUCACUUUAAAGGCUGCUCGCAGCGGUUAGCAACUCGCCAACUGAGGCAAUGGUUAAAAGAAAUAGUCGCGGCGGCAUCAGUACUGCAUCGCUAGAGGUGAAAUUCUUAGACCGAUGCAAGACUAACUGAAGCGAAAGCGUUUGCCGAGGAUGUUUUCAUUAAUCAAGAACGAAAGUUAGAGGUUCGAAGGCGAUCAGAUACCGCCCUAGUUCUAACCAUAAACGUUGCCAACUAGCAAUUGGCCUGAAUUCUAUUUUAACAAAUUGAAUGAUUCGGCCAGCGGCUCUAGGGAAACCAAAGUCUUUGGGUUCCGGGGGAAGUAUGAUUGCAAAGUUGAAACUUAAAGGAAUUGACGGAAGGGCACCACCAGGAGUGGAGCCUGCGGCUUAAUUUGACUCAACACGGGGAAACUUACUAGAUUAGAACACAGGAAUGAUUGACAGAUUGAGAGCUCUUUCUUGAUUCUGUGAGUGGUGGUGCAUGGCCGUUCUUGAUUCGUAGAUUGAUUCGUCUGCUUAAUUGCGAUAACGAGUGAGACCUCCCUUUACUAACUAGUCGCUUGGUGCAUCUUUGACGCAAAAGUCUCGCAGCGUUGCGCGCGUUGCGCAGCAAUGUGUGGCGCGCGCUGGCGUUGUUGGGAUGUCUUUGACUCGCCGGCGGACUUCUUAGAGAGAUAAACGGUGUUUUAGCCGUAAGAAACGAGGCAAUAACAGGUCUGUGAUGCCCUUAGAUACUCUAGGCCGCACGCGUGCUACAAUGGUGUGCGCAGAAAGCUUAUUCGAUACUCGGCCAGAGAGAACUGCCAGUUUUGGUGCGCGUUUCGGCGUUGCGUCGGACUGGAAAGUGACUCUGGUUUACGGGUUGAGAGAAACCUUGGCCGAAAGGUCAGGGCAAUCAGAAAUUCAUGCCGUGAUUUGGGAUUGGGGAUUGCAAUUGUUGUCCAUGAACGAGGAAUUCCCAGUAAGCGCAAUUCAUCAUAUUGCGUUGAUUAAGUCCCUGCCCUUUGUACACACCGCCCGUCGCUACUACCGAUUGAAAGUUUUAGUGAGGCAUUUGGACCUGCCGCGCGCAGAGAGUUUCUCUGAGACUCUCGUGUGCAGCGGGGAAGUCUGUCGAACUCAAAUUUUUAGAGGAAGUAAAAGUCGUAACAAGGUUUCCGU
rnacentral:rRNA from 1 species